rnacentral:rRNA from 1 species
GAUGAACGCUGGCGGCGUGCUUAACGCAUGCAAGUCGAGCGAGAAAAGUUCUUCGGAGUUUUUCUAGCGGCGGACGGGUGAGUAACACGUGGGCAACCUGCCUCAUAGAGGGGAAUAGCCUUCCGAAAGGAAGAUUAAUACCGCAUAACAUUGUUGAAAGGCAUCUUUUAACAAUCAAAGGAGCAAUCCGCUAGGAGAUGGGCCCGCGGCGCAUUAGCUAGUUGGUGAGGUAACGGCUCACCAAGGCGACGAUGCGUAGCCGACCUGAGAGGGUGAUCGGGCACAUUGGAACUGAGACACGGUCCAGACUCCUACGGGAGGCAGCAGUGGGGAAUAUUGCACAAUGGGGGAAACCCUGAUGCAGCAACGCCGCGUGAGUGAUGAAGGUCUUCGGAUUGUAAAGCUCUGUCUUUAGGGACGAUAAUGACGGUACCUAAGGAGGAAGCCACGGCUAACUACGUGCCAGCCGCCGCAGUAACAC